UAUGGUCACAGCACGUUGAAACACCGGAUCUCGUACAAUAACCAAAGUUAAGCAACGUCGGGCCUAGUCAGUACCUAGUGGGUGACCACUUGGAGAUACCAGGGGCUGUAAG